rnacentral:lncRNA from 1 species
CCCUGAAUUAGUAAUUUUAAGGAAAUUUUGCUGUUUUUGGUUAUUAUCUUGAAUACUAUUAUAGAUAGAGAUAAACAGUAAACAGCAAUAAUGUUCAGCAAAGUAAGAUUUACAAAUAAGUCAACAUGACUGAAAUGGUCAGUUGACCCCUUUAGGAGUUAUUGCCCUUUAUAGUCAAUUUUUAACCAUUUUUCGUAAAUCUUAGUAAUAUUUUACAAAAAUCUUCUCCUCUGAAACUACUGGGCCAAAUUAAUCCAAACUUGGCCACAAUCAUCUUUUAGGUUAGUAGUUUGAAAAAUGUGUACGGUGACCCGGCCAUCAAACCAAGAUGGCCACCAUGGCUAAAAAUAGAACAUGGGGUAAAAUGCAGUUUUUGGCUUAUAACUCAAAACCCAAAGCAUUUAGAGCAAAUCUGACAUGGGGUAAAAUUGUUUAUCAGUUCAAGAUCUAUCUGCCCUGAAAUUUUCAGAUGAAUCGGACAACCCGUUGUUGGGUUGCUGGCCCUGAAUUAGUAAUUUAAGGAAAUUUUGCUCUUUUUGGUUAUUAUCUUGAAUAUUAUUAUAGAUAGAGAUAAACUAUAAACAGCAAUAAUGUUCACCAAAGUAAGAUUUACAAAUAAGUCAACAUGACUGAAAUGGUCAGUUGACCCCUUUAGGAGUUAUUGCCCUUUAUAGUCAAUUUUAACCAUUUUUCGUAAAUCUUAGUAAUCUUUUACAAAAAUCUUCUCCUCUGAAACUACUUGGCCAAAUUAAUCCAAACUUGGCCACAAUCAUCUUUUGGGUUAGUAGUUUGAAAAAUGUGUCCGGUGACCCGGCCAUCCAACCAAGAUGGCCGCCAUGGCUAAAAAUAGAACAUGGAGUAAAAUGCAGUUUUUGGCUUAUAACUCAAAACCCAAAGCAUUUAGAGCAAAUCUGACUGGAGUAAAAUUGUUUAUCAGGUCAACAUUUAUCUGCUCUGAAAUUUUUAGAUGAAUCGGACAACCCGUUGUUGGGUUGCUGACCCUGGAUUGUUAGUUUUAAGGAAAUUUUGCUGUUUUUGGUCAUUAUCUUGAAUAUUAUUAUUGAUAGAGAUAAACUGUAAACAACAAUAAUGUUCAGCAAAGUAAGAUUUACAAAUAAGUCAACAUGACCGAAAUAUUCAAUUGACCCCUUUAGGAGUUAUUGUUCUUUAUAGUCAAUUUUUAACAAUUUUCAUAAAAUUUGUAAAUUUUUACUGACAUUUUCCACUGAAACUAAUGGGCCAAGUUCAUUAUAGAUAGAGAUAAUUUUAAGCAGCAAGAAUGUUCAGUAAGGUAAGAUGUACAAACACAUCACCAUCACCAAAACACAAUUUUGUCAUGAAUCCAUCUGCUUCCUUUAAUAUUCACAUAGACCAAGGUGAGCGACACAGGCUCUUUAGAGCCUCUAGUUUUUUUU